rnacentral:tRNA from 1 species
GCCUCCAUAGUUCAAUGGAUAGAACAGACCCGUCCUAAGGGUUAGAUCCUGGUUCGAUUCCGGGUGGGGGCA